rnacentral:rRNA from 1 species
UACGGAGGGAGCUAGCGUUGUUCGGAAUUACUGGGCGUAAAGCGUGCGUAGGUGGUUCGUUAAGUCUGAUGUGAAAGCCCUGGGCUCAACCUGGGAAUGGCAUUGGAAACUGGCGACCUAGAGUGCGGUAGAGGGUAGUGGAAUUCCCGGUGUAGCAGUGAAAUUCGUAGAUAUCGGGAGGAACACCGGUGGCGAAGGCGGCGACCUGGGUAGAUACUGACGCUGAGGCGCGAAAGCGUGGGGAGCAAACAGG